rnacentral:rRNA from 1 species
GACAGAGGUGGCAAGCGUUGUCCGGAAUUACUGGGCGUAAAGAGUUCGUAGGCGGCAUGAAAAGUAGGGUGUGAAAGCCCUCGGCUCAACCGAGGAAUUGCGCUCUAAACUGUCGUGCUAGAGGAAGCUAGAGGUGAGCGGAACUGAUGGUGGAGCGGUGAAAUGCGUUGAUAUCAUCAGGAACACCGGAGGCGAAGGCGGCUCACUGGGGCUUUUCUGACGCUGAGGAACGAAAGCCAGGGUAGCGAACGGG